CUGAAAUGUAGGUAUCACUUUUUAAAAGUAUAAUCUCUUCAAACCUUUUUAACUUUUGGAGUUGAGACGGGACAUUCAAGCUGAAAUGGGAAUUAGCAUUCGAUUGGUCCUGAUAUUCAAAGCUUGUUUCGUACGUCCAUUCAAAUCAGGUCCACCACUUGGGUAGACCUUAGGAACUUCCAAAGUGCAAUGGAAGUUGCUUCCCUAGGCCAUGGGCCUCAAUGAUCACCCAUUGACCCCAUCCAGUUUCCGGCCCGGUGAGUGGAGUUGCUUUGCCUAGGAUGACAGGCGCGAGAAAAGUUGGAACGGUGUAAACUCUUUACAGGCAACAUCGCUCCUCAAAAACAUAUGCUCUCCAUCGAGCUUCUAGUUUUCGGAGUUGAGAUUGGGGAAAGUUGAGAAGGGAGCUGUGUUGGUCGGUUCUUUUUCCGCAAAAGAGGUAUCACUUUUUAAAAGUAUAAUCUCUUCAAACCUUUUUAACUUUUGGAGUUGAGACGGGACAUUCAAGCUGAAAUGGGAAUUAGCAUUCGAUUGGUCCUGAUAUUCAAAGCUUGUUUCGUACGUCCAUUCAAAUCAGGUCCACCACUUGGGUAGACCUUAGGAACUUCCAAAGUGCAAUGGAAGUUGCUUCCCUAGGCCAUGGGCCUCAAUGAUCACCCAUUGACCCCAUCCAGUUUCCGGCCCGGUGAGUGGAGUUGCUUUGCCUAGGAUGACAGGCGCGAGAAAAGUUGGAACGGUGUAAACUCUUUACAGGCAACAUCGCUCCUCAAAAACAUAUGCUCUCCAUCGAGCUUCUAGUUUUCGGAGUUGAGAUUGGGGAAAGUUGAGAAGGGAGCUGUGUUGGUCGGUUCUUUUUCCGCAAAAGAGGUAUCACUUUUUAAAAGUAUAAUCUCUUCAAACCUUUUUAACUUUUGGAGUUGAGACGGGACAUUCAAGCUGAAAUGGGGAUUAGCAUUCGAUUGGUCCUGAUAUUCAAAGCUUGUUUCGUACGUCCAUUCAAAUCAGGUCCACCACUUGGGUAGACCUUAGGAACUUCCAAAGUGCAAUGGAAGUUGCUUCCCUAGGCCAUGGGCCUCAAUGAUCACCCAUUGACCCCAUCCAGUUUCCGGCCCGGUGAGUGGAGUUGCUUUGCCUAGGAUGACAGGCGCGAGAAAAGUUGGAACGGUGUAAACUCUUUACAGGCAACAUCGCUCCUCAAAAACAUAUGCUCUCCAUCGAGCUUCUAGUUUUCGGAGUUGAGAUUGGGGAAAGUUGAGAAGGGAGCUGUGUUGGUCGGUUCUUUUUCCGCAAAAGAGGUAUCACUUUUUAAAAGUAUAAUCUCUUCAAACCUUUUUAACUUUUGGAGUUGAGACGGGACAUUCAAGCUGAAAUGGGGAUUAGCAUUCGAUUGGUCCUGAUAUUCAAAGCUUGUUUCGUACGUCCAUUCAAAUCAGGUCCACCACUUGGGUAGACCUUAGGAACUUCCAAAGUGCAAUGGAAGUUGCUUCCCUAGGCCAUGGGCCUCAAUGAUCACCCAUUGACCCCAUCCAGUUUCCGGCCCGGUGAGUGGAGUUGCUUUGCCUAGGAUGACAGGCGCGAGAAAAGUUGGAACGGUGUAAACUCUUUACAGGCAGCGUCGCUCCUCAAAAACAUAUGCUCUCCAUCGAGCUUCUAGUUUUCGGAGUUGAGACUGGGGAAAGUUGAGAAGGGAGCUGUGUUGGUCGGUUCUUUUUCCGCAAAAGAGGUAUCACUUUUUAAAAGUAUAAUCUCUUCAAACCUUUUUAACUUUUGGAGUUGAGACGGGACAUUCAAGCUGAAAUGGGAAUUAGCAUUCGAUUGGUCCUGAUAUUCAAAGUUUGUUUCGUACGUCCAUUCAAAUCAGGUCCACCACUUGGGUAGACCUUAGGAACUUCCAAAGUGCAAUGGAAGUUGCUUCCCUAGGCCAUGGGCCUCAAUGAUCACCCAUUGACCCCAUCCAGUUUCCGGCCCGGUGAGUGGAGUUGCUUUGCCUUGGAUGACAGGCGCGAGAAAAGUUGGAACGGUGUAAACUCUUUACAUGCAGCGUCGCUCCUCAAAAACAUAUGCUCUCCAUCGAGCUUCUAGUUUUAGGAGUUGAGACUGGGGAAAGUUGAGAAGGGAGCUGUGUUGGUCUGUGUUUUUUCCGCAAAAGAGAGUCAUUUCAGUUUACGAUUAUUUUGGUUUUGUUUUGAACCGACCAAAUGCUCACUCCAACUCAUGGAAAAGGAUUCUGGCUGAAGGAAAGUCGUAUGUAUCAGCAUCUAUCUGGCACAGAGGGCUUGCUGUUUGUACCUAUUCUGGUAAUAGAGGUUUCCUUUAACUUUUAGUCACUCCCCUUCCCUUCCUUGACUAGUAGCUGUGGAAGAUUUUUGUUAAAUUAUAAGUUUCAGCUGUCUGAUAUUCAAUCGGACUGAGAGCCUUUGGACUAGUUAGCCGUAACUGGUACAAGACUAAAUCUUAUCUGUGUGUGUUUGUAUGCAUCGUAUUACUGUAUCUUGUUGCUAUGUCAUGUAAUGCACAAGUAUGUAAGAAGCAUUAACUGUCUAUGUUUAGACUUGUCUUGAGUUUACUUUCUUAUCUGAGGUAUGAAUUAAUGUUUUGCUGCAUGUAUUUGUGGUUACUAAUCCAAGGACUGGUCUUUGCUAGGUUUUUUUUCUUCAAGUUGCUGCCCCCUCCAGUUCACCGUAGUAGACAUGCCAGUCAAAUAUUCUGAAACAUCUCUAUUUGUAUUUGGAUAAAAAUUUAAACCCUAAUGAGUUGAAAUUGCGUGUUUUAUAACGGAUUUGAAACCUGUCUUCCGAGUUUAGGACUUUGUUAGAAAGUGUUUUAUGUUGGACCAUUUUGGAUCUGAAUUGUUUUGAUCUCUUACA